GACGAACGCUGGCGGCGUGCUUAACACAUGCAAGUCGAACGGAAAGGCCCUGCUUGCAGGGUACUCGAGUGGCGAACGGGUGAGUAACACGUGGGUGAUCUGCCCUGCACUUCGGGAUAAGCCUGGGAAACUGGGUCUAAUACCGGAUAGGAGCCAUUUUUAGUGUGAUGGUUGGAAAGUUUUUUCGGUGUAGGAUGAGCUCGCGGCCUAUCAGCUUGUUGGUGGGGUAAUGGCCUACCAAGGCGGCGACGGGUAGCCGGCCUGAGAGGGUGGACGGCCACAUUGGGACUGAGAUACGGCCCAGACUCCUACGGGAGGCAGCAGUGGGGAAUAUUGCACAAUGGGCGCAAGCCUGAUGCAGCGACGCCGCGUGGGGGAUGACGGCCUUCGGGUUGUAAACUCCUUUCGCUAGGGACGAAGCUUUUUGUGACGGUACCGAGAUAAGAAGCACCGGCGAACUACGU
rnacentral:rRNA from 1 species